rnacentral:rRNA from 1 species
UACGGAGGGUGCAAGCGUUAUCCGGAUUCACUGGGUUUAAAGGGUGCGUAGGUGGAUUGGUAAGUCAGUGGUGAAAUCUCCGGGCUUAACUCGGAAACUGCCACUGAUACUAUCAGUCUUGAAUACCGUGGAGGCCAGUAGAAUAUGUCAUGUAGCGGUGAAGUGCUUAGAUAUGACAUAGAAUACCAAUUGCGAAGGCAGCUGGCUACGCGAAUAUUGACACUCAGGCACGAAAGCGUGGGGAUCAAACAGG